UACGUAGGGUGCGAGCGUUAAUCGGAAUUACUGGGCGUAAAGGGUGCGCAGGCGGUUUUGUAAGCCAGAUGUGAAAUCCCCGGGCUCAACCUGGGAAUGGCAUUUGGGACUGCAAGGCUAGAGUGUGGCAGAGGGAGACUGGAAUUCCCGGUGUAGCAGUGAAGUGCGUAGAUAUCGGGAGGAAUACCGAUGGCGAAGGCAGGUCUCUGGGCUGACACUGACGCUCAUGCACGAAAGCGUGGGGAGCAAACAGG
rnacentral:rRNA from 1 species